UUACGGCCACAUCACGUUGAAACACUGGUUCUCGUACGAUCACCGAAGUUAAGCAACAUUGAGCUUGGUCAGUACCUAAAUUGGUGACUGCUUGAGAAUACCAGGUGCUGUGA